CGGGUAACGGGGAAUUAGGGUUCGAUUCCGGAGAGGGCGCCUGAGAAAUGGCGACCACUUCUACGGAAGGCAGCAGGCGCGCAAAUUACUCAAUCCCAAUACGGGGAAGUAGUGACAAGAAAUAUUAAUGCCUAUCCUUCGGGAAGGUAAUUAAAAUGGGUCUAAACUAAAUCCAUUUUCUAAUACAAUUGGAGGGCAAGUCUGGUGCCAGCAGCCGCGGUAAUUCCAGCUCCAAUAGCAUAUACUAAAUUUGUUGCGGUUAAAAAGCUCGUAGUUGAAAUUAAAAUUACAUUGGGUCAAGGGCCUUAGUCGAUUUUUCGUCGGUUUAAAGCUUCCAAUGUAUUUUUUUUAAAAUUAACUCAUAAUCUUGGUCACUUUGUAAUUCAGGGUUUUUUGGGUAUUUCGCUGUGAGAAAAUUGUGGUGCUUAAAGCGGGCGUUUUGCUUGAUCUUUUGCAGCAUGGUAUGAUAGAACAUGACAUUUUGUGCGAUUGGUUGCAUUAAAGUGUAAUGAUUAAUAGGGAUGGAUGGGGGUGU
rnacentral:rRNA from 1 species